rnacentral:rRNA from 1 species
UACGAAGGGGGCUAGCGUUGUUCGGAAUUACUGGGCGUAAAGGGCGCGUAGGCGGUGUGUCAAGUCAGGCGUGAAAGCCCCGGGCUCAACCUGGGAACAGCGCUUGAGACUGGCACGCUCGAGUUCGGGAGAGGAUGGUGGAAUUCCCAGUGUAGAGGUGAAAUUCGUAGAUAUUGGGAAGAACACCUAUGGCGAAGGCAGCUCGCUGGGACGUUACUGACGCUGAGACGCGAAAGCGUGGGGAGCAAACAGG